rnacentral:misc_RNA from 1 species
UCCGCUCGGCGCCUCGAUCGGCGACUUUCUCGCCAAGCCCGUGAUCGCAGGCGGAUUGGGCUGGGGCACGGUCACCACGAGUCUCAUCUUCCUCGCCGCCAUUCUCGCGCUGGUCAUCUUCCUGACGAUCAGUCGAUUCGACCGCAUCGAGCAGGCGUCAGCAGAAGCCUGAUGACGAAACCGGCCGAAGUCCGGCGCCACUUCGGCCUCAAGCACCGGCAACGCUUGUUGCAAUCUGGCCCACCUUCACUUUAAAAAGGAUACCCCGAUGAAGCCCAAUCCUCUAAAAAUCGCAUUGCUCUCAGCCACGAUCGGCGUUGCAUUGACCGGCGCCGCACGGGCGGACUGCGCGAGCGAUCUGCUCCAAC